AUGCUUCUACUUUCUGUAUGGAGCUGGGAGCGUCUGCCUGUUGGACGCCCGAAGAGCGUCAGGUUUAAUCCUUGGUAUGAAGAUGAACAUGACGAAUUACGGCGCCCCACUUGGGCUUACAAGUGGGAUGUGGUUUCCGAGAUGACGAAUGUCGAGGCCCGUUCUCCCAGAAUGCCCACCCCUUAUUCUUUCGUAAGUACGAUGGAGUUCCUGAAGAAAGGACGCCGACUUCAUCAUGAUGACCGAAGCAGAGAAAUGAAGACAUCAAUGUAUUGGACCAGCCUCUUCCAGAAGUGCAAGCCAGGAUGA
rnacentral:rRNA from 1 species